AAUGUCGUAACAAGGUUUCCGUAGGUGAACCUGCGGAAGGAUCAUUACAAAUAAAGCUGGUAGGAAGUGGGGUCUUGAUCUGUAAGGUGGUAGAGCGAACAGUCCGGCUGCCUCCCGAAAUGUCUUACAUGUCCCCCACGGCCCUGAAGGCCGAAUUACAACCCUGAUUAUACACUUGUUGCUUUGGGGUGCUCAAGUGCCCCAAGGACCCACUCUCUUGAUUUAGUGAGUCUGAGACUAUAUAAUAUUUAAAA
rnacentral:misc_RNA from 1 species